UCGUUGUAAGAUGAUACGAUGGGUACAUGGGUUUCCAUAUUUGCAUCUUCUUCUUCAUUAACGACAGCAAGUGAAUCCUCUACAUAUUCUACAAGCUCUUGACCAUUUUCGUAAGAACCCAUUUUCUGGGAAAGAAAGAGAGAGAAAAGGAAAAUUAGAAAUUUUGGUUUUAGAGCUCAAAGAAAAACCAAGGGAGAGAAUUAGAGAGGAAUUUGUAAUUGGAUGACUUGAAACUACGUGGGAUGUUG
rnacentral:misc_RNA from 1 species